rnacentral:rRNA from 1 species
CAGUAUUUACCGCAUGGUAGAUAUUUGAAAGGAGCAAUUGCUUCACUAUGAGAUGGACCUGCGUUGUAUUAGCUAGUUGGUGAGGUAACGGCUCACCAAGGCAUCGAUACAUAGCCGACCUGAGAGGGUGAUCGGCCACACUGGGACUGAGACACGGCCCAGACUCCUACGGGAGGCAGCAGUAGGGAAUCUUCGGCGAUGGGGGCAACCCUGACCGAGCAACGCCGCGUGAGUGAAGAAGGUUUUCGGAUCGUAAAGCUCUGUUGUAAGAGAAGAACUGUGAGAAGAGUGGAAAGUUUCUCACUUGACGGUAUCUUAC